rnacentral:rRNA from 1 species
GACGAACGCUGGCGGCGUGCCUAAUACAUGCAAGUAGAACGCUGAAGAGAGGAGCUUGCUCUUCUUGGAUGAGUUGCGAACGGGUGAGUAACGCGUAGGUAACCUGCCUUGUAGCGGGGGAUAACUAUUGGAAACGAUAGCUAAUACCGCAUAACAAUGGAUGACACAUGUCAUUUAUUUGAAAGGGGCAAUUGCUCCACUACAAGAUGGACCUGCGUUGUAUUAGCUAGUAGGUGAGGUAAUGGCUCACCUAGGCGACGAUACAUAGCCGACCUGAGAGGGUGAUCGGCCACACUGGGACUGAGACACGGCCCAGACUCCUACGGGAGGCAGCAGUAGGGAAUCUUCGGCAAUGGGGGCAACCCUGACCGAGCAACGCCGCGUGAGUGAAGAAGGGUUUCGGAGCGUAAAGCUCUGUUGUAAGUCAAGAACGGGUGUGAGAGUGGAAAGUUCACACUGUGACGGUAGCUGACCAGAAAGGGACGGCUAACUACGUG